rnacentral:rRNA from 1 species
UUAGAGUUUGAUCAUGGCUCAGGAUGAACGCUAGCGGCAGGCUUAACACAUGCAAGUCGAGGGGCAGCGGGGUAGCAAUACUGCCGGCGACCGGCGCACGGGUGCGUAACGCGUAUGCAACCUACCUAUUACAGGGGGAUAGCCCAGAGAAAUUUGGAUUAACACCCCAUAAUAUAUUUAAGAGGCAUCUUUUGAAUAUUAAAACUCCGGUGGUAAUGGAUGGGCAUGCGUGACAUUAGCUAGUUGGUAAGGUAACGGCUUACCAAGGCAACGAUGUCUAGGGGUUCUAAAAGGAAGAUCCCCCACACUGGUACUGAGACACGGACCAGACUCCUACGGGAGGCAGCAGUGAGGAAUAUUGGUCAAUGGGCGCAAGCCUGAACCAGCCAUGCCGCGUGCAGGAAGAAGGUUCUAUGGAUUGUAAACUGCUUUUAUUUGGGAAUAAACCUAAGUACGCGUAUUUAGCUGAAUGUACCAAAUGAAUAAGCACCGGCUAACUCCGUGCCAGCAGCCGCGGUAAUACGGGGGGUGCAAGCGUUACUCGGAAUCACUGGGCGUAAAGGGAGCGUAGGCGUUCUAUUAAGUCUUGAGUGAAAGCCCACAGCCUAACUGUGGAACUGCUUGGGAAACUGAUAGAAUUGAGUAUGGAAGAGGUCAGUGGAAUUUCCGGUGUAGGGGUAAAAUCCGUAGAUAUCGGAAGGAAUACCAGAAGCGAAGGCGACUGACUGGGACAUUACUGACGCUGAGGCUCGAAAGCGUGGGGAGCAAACAGGAUUAGAUACCCUGGUAGUCCACGCCCUAAACGAUGAACACUAGUCGUUACGGAGCUAGUCUCUGUAGUGACGCAGCUAACGCAUUAAGUGUUCCGCCUGGGGAGUACGGUCGCAAGAUUAAAACUCAAAGGAAUAGACGGGGGCCCGCACAAGCGGAGGAACAUGUGGUUUAAUUCGAUGAUACGCGAGGAACCUUACCCGGGCUUAAAUGCAGAGCGAUCGGUGUCGAAAGAUGCUUUCCCUUCGGGGCGAAUUGCAAGGUGCUGCAUGGCUGUCGUCAGCUCGUGCCGUGAGGUGUCGGGUUAAGUCCCAUAACGAGCGCAACCCCUAUUGUUAGUUGCCAGCGGGUGAUGCCGGGAACUCUAACGAGACUGCCACCGUAAGGUGUGAGGAAGGUGGGGAUGGCGUCAAGUCAGCACGGCCCUUAUGUCCGGGGCUACACACGUGUUACAAUGGCAGGUACAAAGAGCAGCCACUCGGUGACGAGGCGCUAAUCUCGAAAAACCUGUCUUAGUUCGGAUCGAAGUCUGCAACUCGACUUCGUGAAGUUGGAUUCGCUAGUAAUCGUAUAUCAGCAAUGAUACGGUGAAUACGUUCCCGGGCCUUGUACACACCGCCCGUCAAGCCAUGGAAGCUGAGGGUACCUGAAGUCUGUAACCGCAAGGAACGGCCUAGGGUAAAAUCGGUAACUGGGGCUAAGUCGUAACAAGGUAGCCAAGGGCGAA